AUUCAGCGUCUCCAGGUUCGUUCGAUUCUCACUCAUCUCCUUCAAUCUCCAAUUCUCUAGUUUCAAAAUUUUGACGAAUUGAAAUUGAAUUACUCUCUUUUGUUUUGAAAUUGAAGGAAUAUUGGGCUUCCGUGGAUGUGCCGUUAUGCAACCAAGUAACACUGAGGUCGGAGCUCGCACCAUGAAUCCUUGUACCUUUUUGAGGGUUCUUGGUCCUGAACCAUGAAAUGUUGCUUAUGUUGAGCCAAGCAUACGUCCAGACGAUUCUCGCUAUGGAGAAAAUCCCAAUAGGCUUCAAAGACACACUCAAUUUCAAGUCAUAUUGAAACCUAACCUUGGAAACUCUCAACAACUCUUUAUCAACAGUCUUUCUGCUUUAGGUUGAUGUGAUUGCGCAUGAUAUACGGUUUGUAGAAGACAACUAGGAGAGCUCGGUAAUGUGUGAACCAUGUUUUUUUUGGGUUUUCCAUCUCUUUUAGUUUCUCACUAUAUUCUCAGGUGCUUGGUCAGUUGUUAAUA